UAGUCCACGCCCUAAACGAUGUUUACUCGAUGUUUGUCACUAGAUGAGCAUCCAAGGGAAACCGUUAAGUAAACCACCUGGGGAGUACGUUCGCAAGAAUGAAACUCAAAGGAAUUGACGGGGGUCCGCACAAGCGGUGGAGCAUGUAGUUUAAUUUGAUGAUACGCGAGGAACCUUACCCAGGCUCUAAUGCUAUGCGCUACACGGUGAAAGCCGUGGUUCUUCGGACGUAUAGCAAGGUGCUGCAUGGUUGUCGUCAGCUCGUGCCGUGAGGUGUUGGGUUAAGUCCCGCAACGAGCGCAACCCUUGUCUCCAGUUGCCAGCACGUAAUGGUGGGGACUCUGGAGAGACUGCCGGCGCAAGCCGCGAGGAAGGUGGGGAUGACGUCAAAUCAUCAUGGCCUUUAUGCCUGGGGGCUAGACACGUGCUACAAUGGUAGGUACAGAGGGCAGCC
rnacentral:rRNA from 1 species